GCUCUGACCAGCGGAAAUGAAGCACACUUUGCUCCUCCGCUGGUCAGAGCUGGUCAAGCGGAGGAAUCCUCCAUAAGGCAAAGAGUCCCUACUUUGUCUUAUGAUUUUAAAGAAAACUAAAGAAGACAGGAAGAAAAGAAGAACAGAUCCUGAGAGAGAGGGAGAAGAGGAAUAGAUUGAGGAAAGGUAAGUUUGGCAUGACAGUGCCGCUUUAACUAGGAACAUGUCUAUGCGGGAAUAGCUGUCGUGGGGUGCAGAAUAAAAGGUGUAGUCACAGGUUCCGGGGUGCGGGACUCUCCAUGCAUUCAGCAGUCCGG